rnacentral:rRNA from 1 species
UGGGGAAUAUUGCGCAAUGGGGGAAACCCUGACGCAGCAACGCCGCGUGAAGGAAGAAGGCCUUCGGGUUGUAAACUUUUGUCUUUAGGGAAGAAAAAAAUGACGGUACCUAAGGAGGAAGCCACGGCUAACUACGUGCCAGCAGCCGCGGUAAUACGUAGGUGGCAAGCGUUAUCCGGAUUUACUGGGUGUAAAGGGAGCGUAGGCGGGACUUUAAGUCAGAUGUGAAAUGCUGGGGCUCAACCCCAGAGCUGCAUUUGAAACUGGAGUUCUUGAGUGUCGGAGAGGUAAGUGGAAUUCCUAGUGUAGCGGUGAAAUGCGUAGAUAUUAGGAGGAACACCAGUGGCGAAGGCGACUUACUGGACGAUAACUGACGCUGAGGCUCGAAAGUGUGGGGAGCAAACAGGAUUAGAUACCCUGGUAGUCCACACUGUAAACGAUGGAUACUAGGUGUAGGAGGUAUCGACCCCUUCUGUGCCGCAGUUAACACAAUAAGUAUCCCACCUGGGGAGUACGAACGCAAGUUUGAAACUCAAAGGAAUUGACGGGGGCCCGCACAAGCAGUGGAGUAUGUGGUUUAAUUCGAAGCAACGCGAAGAACCUUACCAGGUAAAAAAAACAUUGGAAUCCUUAAGAGAUUAGGGAGUGCCUUCGGGAGCCAAGAGACAGGUGGUGCAUGGUUGUCGUCAGCUCGUGUCGUGAGAUGUUGGGUUAAGUCCCGCAACGAGCGCAACCCCUAUUGUUAGUUGCCAUCAUUAAGUUGGGCACUCUAGCGAGACUGCCGUUGAUAAAACGGAGGAAGGUGGGGACGACGUCAAAUCAUCAUGCCCCUUAUGACCUGGGCUACACACGUACUACAAUGGCCGUUAACAAAGUGAAGCAAGACCGCGAGGUGGAGCAAAUCACAAAAAACGGUCUCAGUUCAGAUUGUAGGCUGAAACUCGCCUAUAUGAAGUUGGAAUUGCUAG